rnacentral:rRNA from 1 species
UACGUAGGGUCCGAGCGUUGUCCGGAAUUAUUGGGCGUAAAGAGCUUGUAGGCGGUUUGUCGCGUCUGCUGUGAAAUUUCGGGGCUCAACCCCGAACUUGCAGUGGGUACGGGCAGACUAGAGUGUGGUAGGGGAGACUGGAAUUCCUGGUGUAGCGGUGAAAUGCGCAGAUAUCAGGAGGAACACCGAUGGCGAAGGCAGGUCUCUGGGCCACUACUGACGCUGAGAAGCGAAAGCAUGGGGAGCGAACAGG